AAAUGUGGCGGGCAGCAAUAAAAAGUCAUGAAGACGUCUCUUAGUAUGUAAAGACACCCAGGAGAAACCUGAUGGAGUCAUGGUGAUCUUGAGAGAAGCGGGGACAGCACGCACCUUUGAGGGGCACCAAUACUGAGGGUGCUCACUCUAGAUGUAAAUACCAGCAGUUUGGAACGGCAUGCAUGAAUAAUGAGAGGACUAUUUACUGAAGUACUCCUCAAGCACUAUUGCCCAUUGUGGGAAUUAAAGUUUUCUUUACUACAUAACUUCCUGUGC